GGUGUUUCUGGGCAUCUAAAGCACAGAGGCUGGGAAGAUUCUGUGAAGUAAACAGCAUGGAAUACAAGGAGUAUUUAGAUUUAUCAUAUCACAAGAGGGAUCUGCCCAGUGUCCAAGAUGAUGUUUGAGAUUGAGGCUUCAGGUGCCACUCCUAAUAAAGGCCACAGCCUUGGAAUCAGGAUUAAGCUGGAGCCUGAGGGAGCCAGGCACGCUCAGGAGAGG